ACUAAAUAGAUACCCCGGUAGUCCACGCCCUAAACGAUGUCUACUAGUUGUCGGGUCUUAAUUGACUUGGUAAACGCAGCUAAACGCGUGAAAGUAGACCGCCUGGGGAGUACGGUCGCAAGAUUAAAACUCAAAGGAAUUGACGGGGACCCGCACAAGCGGUGGAUGAUGUGGAUUAAUUCGAUGCAACGCGAAGAACCUUACCUACCCUUGACAUGGAAGGAAUCCCUGAGAGAUCGGGGAGUGCUCGAAAGAGAACCUUUACACAGGUGCUGCAUGGCUGUCGUCAGCUCGUGUCGUGAGAUGUUGGGUUAAGUCCCGCAACGAGCGCAACCCUUGUCAUUAGUUGCUACGAAAGGGCACUCUAAUGAGACUGCCGGUGACAAACCGGAGGAAGGUGGGGAUGACGUCAAGUCCUCAUGGCCCUUAUGGGUAGGGCUUCACACGUCAUACAAUGGUACAUACAGAGGGCCGCAACCCGCGAGGGGGUAGCUAAUCCCAGAAAGUGUAUCGUAGUCCGGAUUGUAGUCUGCAACUCG
rnacentral:rRNA from 1 species